UACGAAGGGGGCUAGCGUUGCUCGGAAUCACUGGGCGUAAAGCGCACGUAGGCGGCUUUCUAAGUCAGAGGUGAAAUCCUGGAGCUCAACUCCAGAACUGCCUUUGAUACUGGGAAGCUUGAGUCCGGAAGAGGUUAGUGGAACUGCGAGUGUAGAGGUGAAAUUCGUAGAUAUUCGCAAGAACACCAGUGGCGAAGGCGGCUCACUGGCCCGAUACUGACGCUGAUGCACGAAAGCGUGGGGAGCAAACAGG
rnacentral:rRNA from 1 species